rnacentral:rRNA from 1 species
AUUGAACGCUGGCGGCAGGCCUAACACAUGCAAGUCGAGCGAGCGGCGGACGGGUGAGUAAUGUAUGGGGACUGCCCGAUAGAGGGGGAUAACUACUGGAAACGGUGGCUAAUACCGCAUACUAUCGGAUAACCCAUAUGGUAUUAGCGAGUAGGUGGGGUAAAGGCUCACCUAGGCGACGAACUCUAGCUGGUCUGAGAGGAUGAUCAGGCACACUUGGACUGGGACACGGCCCAGAGGCCUACGGAGGCAGCAGUAGGGAAUAUUGCACAAUGGGCGCAAGCCUGAUACAGCCAUGCCGCGUGUAUGAAGAAGGCCUUAGGGUUGUAAAGUACUUUCAGUCGGGAGGCGUUACCGACAGAAGAAGCACCGGCUAACUCCGUGCCAGCAGCCGCGGUAAUAC